rnacentral:lncRNA from 7 species
UUACCGCUCCUACUCUCUCGCGAGCGUCGUCCGCCGCCGGUGGUGGACAUUCUCAUUCAUAUGCACAUGCAGAUGAUGAUGAGCAGGUAGCCCGCCCGGCGGUGGCGGUGGCGGUGGACGCGUACGUGUGCGGCGCCUCGAACCGCGACGGCACAAAAAAAAAUGUUGUUGGUUUGGCAGUUCUAGUUCUAGCUAGCUCCGGCCGGCCGCGACUGGAACACAUGCGAUGUCGUGUAGGUGCAGUGCAGGCAGCUGGUGAUUAGCGCGUUGAAGACGGAAGCCAAGGACAGCGACAGGACAGACGUUCCUGUCAAGGGUAUAAUGCAAAAGCACAUGAGGAUACCGCAAAAGGCAGCGGUCUCUCCAGCCUCCAGCGAAGAGAGGCGGCAGACUUUGGCUAAAGCGUCAAUCUAAUGGGGAACAGGGCGACGAUGCUCUACCGUCGUCUCUCCGAUCCGUGUCAUCUCGAUCUGAGUUCGUUCGUUGUAUCAACAAUGCCCAACAACUGGUAUUAUUAGUGGACAGCACAUGUAUAUAUAGAACCUGCGCAGGCCGGAGCUGGUUCGUGAUUAUUAAGUACUAUAUAAUAUAUAUACCUGCGGG